rnacentral:ncRNA from 1 species
AGACUAGAACGUUGAUAGGCAGGGUGUGUAAGUGCUGCGAGGCAUUGAGCUAACCUGUACUAAUUGCCCGUGAGGCUUAACCAU